rnacentral:rRNA from 14 species
CACCAGGUUGAUUCUGCCUGACGUGGAUGCUAGUCUCAUAGGUUAAGCCAUGCAUGUGCAAGCGAAGCGUAAGUGGAGCGGCGUAAGGCUCAGUAACGGGCAGGUAUUUGAUCUCCUUGAGUGGACAUCCUCUGUAAGCGGAGGGCAAAACACGAUACCGGCAGCAGAAGUGUUGAUGGUAGAACGGAAGUGGAGGAGAGUAAGCAGCCAUCCCAUCAGUUAGUAAGUAGGGUAAGGGCCUACUUAGACGUAGACGGGUACGGGGAAUUAGAGUUUGAUUCCGGAGAGGGAGCCUGAGAGACGGCUACCGGGUCCAAGGACAGCAGCAGGCGCGAAAAUUACCGAAGCCUCCGGUGAGGGCGGUAGUAAGGAGACGUGAAAACGAGGCGCGGAUAAAAGAAGCGCUAGUAACAGGAGGGCAAGACUGGUGCCAGCAGCCGCGGUAAUACCAGCUCCUGGAGUAUCGAUGGUGAUUGCUGCAGUUAAAGAGUUCGUAGUCAGAGCGGGUAUUCGAGCGCAACAGGUCGCCACUCAAGGGGGGCACGACGUGCGAACGCCGCGGAAUAAGGAGCGUCUAGGGGCCGCGUUAUUAAGCGACGAGGGGUGAAAUCUGGUGACUCGCUUAGGAGCAACAGAGGCGAAAGCGGCGGCCAGGGGCGAAUCCGAUGAUAAAGGACGUAGGCUAGAGGAUCGAAGACGAUUAGAGACCGUUGUAGUUCUAGCAGUAAACGAUGCCGAUGCCGUGGCGCGGAAACGCGACGCGGAAGAGAAAUCGAGUAGGGCCCUGGGGAGAGUACGCGCGCAAGCGAGAAAUUUAAAGGAAAUUGACGGAAGAACACCACAAGGAGUGGAGUGUGCGGCUUAAUUUGACUCAACGCGGGACAGCUUACCAGGCCCGACGGCCGCAGGAGUGUUGUACACGAUAGGCCGGAGAGUGGUGCAUGGCCGUUAACGACGAGUGGGGUGACCUUAGGGUUAAGUCCGGGAAGUAGUGAGACCCCUGCGAUAGUAGGACAGGUGCGCAAAGCACAGGAAGGAAGGGUCAAGAACAGGUCAGUGAUGCCCUUAGAUGGUCUGGGCGGCACGCGCACUACAGUGGUCACGGAAAUGGAGAAGAAAGAAGAAAAAGUGAUCGAGAGGGAACGAGGUCUGGAAGGGGCUCGGGAACGAGGAAUUGCUAGUAAUCGCGGACUCAUUAAGACGCGAUGAAUACGUCCCUGUUCUUUGUACACACCGCCCGUCGUUAUCGAAGAUGGAGUCAGGCGCGAACAAGCGAGAGCGAGUAAGUGCAGGAUUCUAGAUGUGAUACAAGUCGUAACAAGGUAGCUGUAGGAGAACCAGUAGCAGGAUCAUAA